rnacentral:rRNA from 1 species
UGGGGAAUAUUGCACAAUGGGCGCAAGCCUGAUGCAGCAACGCCGCGUGAGGGACGACGGCCUUCGGGUUGUAAACCUCUUUUAGCAGGGAAGAAGCGAAAGUGACGGUACCUGCAGAAAAAGCACCGGCUAACUACGUGCCAGCAGCCGCGGUAAUACGUAGGGUGCAAGCGUUAUCCGGAAUUAUUGGGCGUAAAGAGCUCGUAGGCGGUUUGUCGCGUCUGCUGUGAAAACUGGGGGCUCAACCCCCAGCCUGCAGUGGGUACGGGCAGACUAGAGUGCGGUAGGGGAGAUUGGAAUUCCUGGUGUAGCGGUGGAAUGCGCAGAUAUCAGGAGGAACACCGAUGGCGAAGGCAGAUCUCUGGGCCGUAACUGACGCUGAGGAGCGAAAGGGUGGGGAGCAAACA